rnacentral:rRNA from 1 species
AUGGAUGCAACUGAUGAAGAGAUAAUUGAAGCAGCAACAACAGCUAAUGUGCAUUCAUUCAUAUCUAAACUUCCCAAUGAAUACUUGACAGAGGUAGGAGAAAGAGGUGUGCAGUUGUCAGGAGGCCAGAAACAAAGAGUAGCUAUUGCAAGGGCAAUGCUGAAGGAUCCACCAAUUCUCCUUCUGGAUGAAGCGACAAGUGCCCUUGAUUCAGAGUCAGAAAAGCUAGUGCAGGAUGCACUUGAGAGAGCCAUGCAUGGAAGGACAGUUAUACUGAUAGCCCACAGGAUGUCCACAAUUGUAAAUGCUGACACCAUUGUUGUCGUAGAGAAUGGAAGUGUGGCACAGACCGGGACACAUCAAGAGUUGCUCGAGAAAAGCACGUUCUACUCAAACGUAUGCAGCAUGCAAAAUAUUGAGAAGGAAUCUGGAAAGAUGGUAGCAAGCCCUUCUGAUAAAGUAAUAGAAGAACAAACUGAUGAAGCAUACAACAGACAGCCCUCCAUGAAGCAAGGACAACAGAACAAACUAGAACCAAUAAACUCAAAGCAAUCAAAGCAAGAGGUCAGAACGGAAAUACCUCCUUUCUUCAGAAUUUGGUAUGGGCUAUGUAGAGACGACAUUGCAAAACUUCUAUUAGGAUCCUCAGCAGCGGCCAUCUCUGGAAUCUCAAAGCCCUUGUUUGGUUACUUCAUCAUGACAAUUGGCGUGGCAUACUAUGAUCAAGAUGCAAAAAGAAAACUCAGCAAAUAUUCUUUGAUUUUCUUCGGGGCUGGGAUGGUCACACUGGCCAGUAGCAUCUUGCAGCACUACAUUUAUGGCGUUAUUGGAGAAACGGCAAUGAAAAACCUAAGAGAGGCCCUCUUUUCAUCUGUGCUCCGAAAUGAGCUUGGUUGGUUUGAAAAGCCAAAGAAUGGUGUAGGAUCUCUUACCUCACGCAUUGUCAGUGACACAUCAACAGUAAAGAGCAUCAUAUCUGAUAGGAUGGCAGUCAUUGUGCAAUGCAUCUCUUCAAUCCUGAUAGCAACAACGGUAAGCAUGUUCGUCAACUGGAGGAUGGGUUUAGUAUCAUGGGCAGUCAUGCCAUGCCAUUUCAUCGGCGGCCUUAUCCAAGCCAAGUCAGCCAAGGGAUUUUACGGCGACGCUGCUAUCGGUCACCAGGAGCUCGUGUCCCUUGCUUCGGAGGCUGCUAGCAACAUCCGGACCGUGGCAUCCUUUGUUUAUGAAGAUGAAAUCAUGAAGAAAGCAGAACUGUCGCUGCAAGAACCCAUGAGAAUCACCAAGAUUGAGAGCAUGAAGUAUGGGAUAAUCCAAGGGAUCUCGCUCUGCCUGUGGAACAUCGCACAUGCAGUGGCACUCUGGUACACCACAGUUCUGGUCCAGAGAAAGCAAGCAUCAUUUGAGAACAGCAUACGGUCAUACCAGAUAUUCUCGCUCACGGUGCCUUCCAUCACAGAGUUAUGGACCCUGAUUCCCAUGGUCAUGUCAGCCAUAACAAUACUGAAUCCUGCAUUUGACAUACUUGACAGAGAGACGCAGAUCGUGCCAGAUGAACCAAAAGCGACAAGUGACCGCUGGCUCGUGGGGAGAAUUGAGUUUCAGGGUGUGAACUUCAACUAUCCAUCACGCCCAGAGAUCACCAUUCUGGAUGGCUUCAAUCUAGUCAUCGAGCCUGGCCAAAGGGUAGCAUUGGUUGGCCCAAGCGGUGCAGGAAAAUCCUCUGUCCUGGCUCUCAUACUGAGAUUCUACGAUCCGCACAGAGGUACAGUGCUAGUUGACAACAAAGACAUAAGGGACUACAACCUCAGAUGGCUCAGGAGGCAAAUUGGAUUAGUUCAACAGGAACCAAUUCUGUUCAACACAUCCAUCAGAGAUAACAUUAGUUAUGGAAGUGACGAAUCUUCAGAAACUGAAAUCAUCCAGGCUGCCAUGGACGCAAACAUUCACGAGUUCAUCAGCGGUUUGCCAGAAGGGUACGGCACAGUCGUUGGAGACAAAGGAGGUCAGCUUUCAGGAGGGCAGAAACAGCGCAUAGCUAUCGCAAGAACUCUACUAAAGAAGCCAGACAUUCUGCUUCUUGACGAGGCAACUAGCGCACUCGAUGGUGAGUCUGAGAGGGUGGUGAUGACUUCUUUAGGGGCCAAGGAGUGGAACAACAGAGGUGAGCGAUCAAGCAAUAUUACAAGCAUCGCAGUGGCGCAUAGAUUGUCCACAGUCAUAAAUGCAGACAUGAUUGUUGUGAUGGAGAAAGGGAAGGUGGCUGAAAUCGGUGACCACCAAACACUGAUAUCUGCAGAUGAUGGUGUUUACUCAAGGCUGUUUCACUUGCAAAGCAACAUGAAGGAUUGA